UACGUAGGGUGCAAGCGUUAAUCGGAAUUACUGGGCGUAAAGCGUGCGCAGGCGGUGAUGUAAGACAGAUGUGAAAUCCCCGGGCUCAACCUGGGAACUGCAUUUGUGACUGCAUCGCUGGAGUGCGGCAGAGGGGGAUGGAAUUCCGCGUGUAGCAGUGAAAUGCGUAGAUAUGCGGAGGAACACCGAUGGCGAAGGCGGCGAUCUGGGAAGUUACUGACGCUGAGGUGCGAAAGCGUGGGGAGCAAACAGG
rnacentral:rRNA from 1 species